UACAGAGGGUGCGAGCGUUGUCCGGAAUCACUGGGCGUAAAGGGCGCGUAGGCGGCUUGAUAAGGUUGCGGUGAAAGCCCGGGGCUCAACCCCGGGUCGGCCGUGGCAACUGUCGAGCUGGAGCACUGUAGAGGCAGGUGGAAUUCCGGGUGUAGCGGUGGAAUGCGUAGAGAUCCGGAAGAACACCGGUGGCGAAGGCGGCCUGCUGGGCAGUGGCUGACGCUGAGACGCGAAAGCGUGGGGAGCGAACAGG
rnacentral:rRNA from 1 species